rnacentral:rRNA from 1 species
UCUUGCUUUUGGCAACAAAUGUCAAGAAAUGUAGCGUGUAACAAGCGGCUAUUGUAACUGUAUGCACACGUAAGUCUCAAUGAACGGAGCUCCGUGCCAUGGAGGGUGCUAGUCCCGUGUCGUGUGCUACAAGUGUUAUGAUGAACGUUUGUAGAGAGUCAGGUUGUUUGAGAGCGCAACCUAAAUCCGGUGGUAUACUCCAUCGAAGGCUAAAUAUGGCUACGAGACCGAUAGCGAACAAGUACUGUGAAGGAAAAUUGAAAAGCACUUUGAAGAGAGGGCGAAAUAGUACGUGAAACCGUUCAGAGGGAAGCUGAUGGGCCCUCGAAGAAUGUAAUGAAUUUAUCUAUUAAAUUGCAUGCAUUCGGUAUAGAUAUUUGGUGUGUGAUUUCGGUCAUGUAUNUGAUAUUUNUAUUUGAAUGUUGUUUAAUGGUGCACUUUUCAUNACACAACGCUACCAAUAUUGAUUUAGNGCGCCCGUACUUGUACGCGAGUCCUUGUCAAUUCUUCGGAUUUGUACGAGAUGCUACGUACAUUAGUGCGCGAGUGAAAUUGCGGCAUUUGUCAAUAUUACAGGCAUUUAUUGUCGGUAGCGAGUAGAUGGUAACCCAUCCAUCCCGUCUUGAAACACGGACCAAGGAGUUUAACAUUUGCGCGAGUCGUUGGGCUUAACGCCUNAAGGCUUAGUGAAAGCAAGUUGGUGAGAUCUUACUUUAGUGAGCGCAUCACCGGCCUGCACUUAACUUCGGUUUUGUGCAGAGUAAGAGCGUAAACGUUAAGACCCGAAAGAUGGUGAACUAUGCCUGAGCAGGAUGAAGCCAGGGGAAACUCUGGUGGAAGUCCGUAGCGAUUCUGACGUGCAAAUCGAUCGUCUGACUNGGGUAUAGGGGCGAAAGACUAAUCGAACUAUCUAAUAGCUGGUUCCCUCCGAAGUUUCCCUCAGGAUAGCUGGCGCAUAUUGACGGCAGUCUCUCCCGGUAAAGCGAAUGAUUAGAGGUCUUGGGAUCGAAACGAUCUCNNCCUAUUCUCAAACUAUAAAUAGGUGAGAAGUUUGGCUUGCUUAA